GCUGUCCCGGUCCCGCUGCGUGUCCCGGGCGUUCAGCCGCUCGCUUUCUGCCUUCCAGAAGGGGAACUGCCCUCUAGGGAGACGUUCCCUGCCUGGGGUCUCCUUAUGUCAGGGACCAGGUUACCCUGACAGCAGGAAGAUGGUUUGAACAGGAGCAUCUGAGGGCCGGAGGUCACAUUUGUUACAGGAACUGAGAGAACUCUGUCUUGGUAGCAUGGUUACUAAUCCUAAAGUCAGUCAAUGCAAAGACCUGCUAAGCCCUAGGACUUUGACUGUUUGAUAAGAAUGCUGUUAUUGCCUAACGAAGAGUCUGGAGGACGGCCAUCCACGUGCGGCAUGGAUUAACUUGUGCUUCAUUAACAACAGUAGCGUCUUCAGUGUUCGCUUCUUCCAAACCACGGCAGUGUGCAAGAAUGAUGUGAUUACAGUCCA
rnacentral:lncRNA from 1 species